AGAGCGAACGCUGGCGGCAGGCCUAACACAUGCAAGUCGAGCGCCCGUAGCAAUACGGGAGCGGCAGACGGGAUAGUAACACGUGGGAACGCGCCCUUCGGUUCGGAAUAACUCAGGGAAACUUGAGCUAAUACCGGAUACGCCCUUACGGGGAAAGAUUUAUUGCCGAAGGAACGGCCCGCGUCCGAUUAGCUAGUUGGUGAGGUAAUGGCUCACCAAGGCGACGACCGGUAGCUGGUCUGAGAGGAUGACCAGCAUCACUGGGACUGAGACACGGCCCAGACUCCUACGGGAGGCAGCAGUGGGGAAUAUUGGACAAUGGGCGCAAGCCUGAUCCAGCCAUGCCGCGUGGAUGAUGAAGGCCUUAGGGUUGUAAAGUCCUUUUAACGGGGAAGAUAAUGACGGUACCGUAGAAUAAGCCCCGGCUAACUUCGCGCAGCAGCCGC
rnacentral:rRNA from 1 species